GAACGCCUUACUUCGCACAGAAGAUCUUACAGAGGGACAGAAGACGUGUUUCCGGUCAGAGAGGUCACAGCUGGUGUUGAUCUGAAGCCGUCUGCGGUUCAGUGGUCAGAUCUGACCGCCAUCCAAACACAAUUACAGCAGCAGAGUCAGGCCAUUGAGACUUUAACACAGAGUCUUCGAUUACUGGAAGGAGAACGAAAUGCUCAGACAAGACAAAUACAAACAUUACAAGGUGAUCAUCAAUCAGUUUCAAUGUACUUCAUUAUACUACUCCAAUUAACACUUCUUUCCUAUAAAUGAGUAAAUAGACUGUUUCUGUUGUUACUGAGGUCAUAUUUACUCCAGAAUCUCUGUCUUCCAGAGCAGCAGAAGAGACUUCGGAUAAACUGGAGGAGAGAGAGCAGGACACGGGUCGGAGAUCACUGAGUCCUGGACCGGACCGACGGAUCGAGCAGUGGAAGAGAGAGAUGGAUCGAGAGCUGAGCAGUCUGAGAGCGCAGAUCAACCGCGCCGCGACUCUAGGAAACCAGGAAGAAAGAGGCGUGGCUUUAGGAAACAGGCAAAAACGUUUCAGCUCCAAACUGCGCAGAGAAGAACUGGAGCAGCUCAGGAGAGAGGUGGACAUCCUUAAAAACAAACUCCUGCGGCAGGAAGAAGAUACGUUCCAGCUCCGGUCAGAGGCCAGAGAAACAAGGAGACAGUAUGAACAUAGCUCUAAGACGUUGGAGAGUUUUACAGAUUCGUACCGAACGCACAGUUUCGAUCUCGCUCGGAUGGUGUCACAGUAUCAGCACACGCAACAGGAAGUGCGUGACCUCAGAGUCACUGUCUCUGAGCUGAAGGACGAGGUGCGAGGUCUGGUCCUGAGAGAAACCCUCCCCACACCUGCACCUCUAACACACAAACCAGUGGUAACUGUGAAGACAAGCCCCCAGAGACGUGUGUCGUCAGGGUCCGAUGAUGAUUUCAGUCCCACCCCCAGUCUGGGGGAGAUCAGCUCAGAUGAGUUAGAUGCAUCAUGGCUGGAUGAACCAGAGCCACAAACCAGGAGGAGGCGCCGGCGAGUCCGUUUAAAUUCAGACAUUACAGGAAGUGACCUCAGCGAUGCUGGAAGUGGGCUGGAUAGUAACCUUGGCAAUGAUGCUGAAGGAGUUUCAGACAGUCCUCCAGAUCUCAGUCUCAGUGACCUCUGA
rnacentral:lncRNA from 1 species